AGCAGCCGCCGCGGGAAUACGAAGGGGGCUAGCGUUGUUCGGAAUUACUGGGCGUAAAGCGUGCGUAGGCGGCUUCUUAAGUCGGAUGUGAAAUCCCUGAGCUUAACUUAGGAAUUGCAUUCGAUACUGGGAAGCUAGAGUAUGGGAGAGGAUGGUAGAAUUCCAGGUGUAGCGGUGAAAUGCGUAGAGAUCUGGAGGAAUACCGAUGGCGAAGGCAGCCAUCUGGCCUAAUACUGACGCUGAGGUACGAAAGCAUGGGGAGCAAACAGGAUUAGAUACCCCUGUAGUCCCUGUCUCUUAUAC
rnacentral:rRNA from 1 species